rnacentral:rRNA from 1 species
UACGUAGGGGGCGAGCGUUAAUCGGAAUUACUGGGCGUAAAGCGUGCGCAGGCGGCGCGUUAAGACAGGUGUGAAAGCCCCGAGCUUAACUUGGGAAUUGCGCUUGUGACUGGCGUGCUGGAGUGUGGCAGAGGGAGGUGGAAUUCCACGUGUAGCAGUGAAAUGCGUAGAGAUGUGGAGGAACACCAAUGGCGAAGGCAGCCUCCUGGGCCAGCACUGACGCUCAUGCACGAAAGCGUGGGGAGCAAACAGG